rnacentral:rRNA from 1 species
UACGAAGGGGGCUAGCGUUGUUCGGAUUUACUGGGCGUAAAGCGCACGUAGGCGGAUCGUUAAGUCGGGGGUGAAAUCCUGGAGCUCAACUCCAGAACUGCCUUCGAUACUGGCGAUCUCGAGUCCGGAAGAGGUGAGUGGAACUGCGAGUGUAGAGGUGAAAUUCGUAGAUAUUCGCAAGAACACCAGUGGCGAAGGCGGCUCACUGGCCCGGUACUGACGCUGAGGUGCGAAAGCGUGGGGAGCAAACAGGG